rnacentral:rRNA from 1 species
AACGAACGCUGGCGGCAGGCCUAACACAUGCAAGUCGAGCGAGGACUUCGGUCCUAGCGGCGGACGGGUGAGUAACGCGUGGGAACGUGCCCUUUGCUUCGGAAUAGCCCUGGGAAACUGGGAGUAAUACCGGAUGAGCCCUUUGGGGGAAAGAUUUAUCGGCGAAGGAUCGGCCCGCGUUGGAUUAGGUAGUUGGUGGGGUAAUGGCCUACCAAGCCGACGAUCCAUAGCUGGGUUGAGAGGAUGAUCAGCCACACUGGGACUGAGACACGGCCCAGACUCCUCCGGAACGCAGCAGUGGGGAAUCUUCCACAAUGGGGUAAACCCUGAUCUAGCCAUGCCGCUUGAGCGAUGAAGGCCUUAGGGUUGUAAAGCGCAUUCAGCUGGGAACAUAUUGACGGUACCAACAGAAGAAGCCCCGGCUAACUCCGUG